AACGGGUGAGUAACGCGUGGGGAACCUGCCUCCGGGUGGGAGGAUAACACUCCUAACGGGGUGCUAAUACCGCAUGACAUCCUCGGGUCGCAUGGCCUGAGGAUCAACGGUGGCCUCUGCUUGCAAGCUAUCGCCCGGAGAUGGCCCCGCGUCCGAUUAGCUAGUUGGUGAGGUAACGGCUCACCAAGGCGACGAUCGGUAGCUGGUCUGAGAGGAUGGUCAGCCACACUGGGACUGAGAUACGGCCCAGACUCCUACGGGAGGCAGCAGUCGAGAGGCUUCGGCAAUGGGGGAAACCCUGACCGAGCGACGCCGCGUGAGGGAUGACGCCCUUCGGGGUGUAAACCUCUUUUCUGAGGGAAGAAACUCGGGAGGUCGAACAAGCCUCUCGGCUGACGGUACCUUAGGAAUAAGCUCCGGCUAACUACGUGCCAGCAGCCGCGGUAAUACGUAGGGGGCAAGCGUUGCUCGGAUUUACUGGGCGUAAAGGGCGUGUAGGCGGCCAAGCAAGUCAGGUGUGAAAGCCCUCAGCUCAACUGAGGUCCUGCGCCUGAAACUAUUUGGCUUGAGUCUGGAAGAGGAGGGUGGAAUUCCCGGUGUAGCGGUGAAAUGCGUAGAGAUCGGGAGGAACACCAGUGGCGAAGGCGGCCCUCUGGACCAGUACUGACGCUGAGGCGCGAAAGCUAGGGGAGCGAACGGGAUUAGAUACCCCGGUAGUCCUAGCUGUAAACGGUGGGCACUAGGUGUGGAAGGUAUCGACCCCUUGUGUGCCGUAGCUAACGCAUUAAGUGCCCCGCCUGGGGAGUACGACCGCAAGGUUGAAACUCAAAGGAAUUGACGGGGGCCCGCACAAGCGGUGGAGCAUGUGGUUUAAUUCGACGCAACGCGAAGAACCUUACCAAGGCUUGACAUUCCGCGAAUUUCCUCGAAAAGGGGAAAGUGCCUGCGAAGGAGCGC
rnacentral:rRNA from 1 species